UUAUAAUUAUUAUUAAAGUACAAAUAAAUAGAUAUUUGAGAUAUUUAAGUAUUUGAAUAGUGGAUUUUAGUUGGGUUUGUUUCUUCCACAAAGCUAUGUACGACUUGGCAUUGUGUGUGUGUUAGGGACUUCUUUUAUGAUACACCAGUUUUAUGAUCUGUGUCAUUUUAUUGCAUGGAAAAGCAGUGUAAAUCAUCCACUAACCACUUUGAUUUGAGUGUUUCAUGGAGGAAAGUAAAGCAGGACUAGAAAGACAUGAGGCUGAGAAUGGGGUGAACUACUCAAGCCAGCGGUUACUAAUCCUCUUCAUAACUCACAGCAGAAGAGCUUAAAGAGCAAUGAUGAAAUAUAGAAAAUAUAAAUUAAUACGUUUCAAGAGUAAUGACCUGGCACUUGUGUUUGCUCUGUUUUAAUUGGGUUUGCUUACAACAGUCAUAAUAUGUAUGUAAUCAUUUACACUUAUAGUUCGCUUACUAAAUGUGUUUUCUACAGAAUGAACUAAUGUCAGUCACCAAGAUUGUUUGUGAUUGAUUGAUUGAUUGAUUAUUGAGUAGCAUAUGAAGAAGUUUGUCUACUUUAAAUUAGUAGUGUGAUAUUGUUCACAGCGCAGAGCUAAUUGAGUAAAAAAAACUGCAUGUUUCUGGUUGAAUCUUGCAAAACCUGUUAAUGUUUCAGCCCAAAUUAAAGAGCAAAUUAUACUGUGCAUACAGAAAAUGAAGCUGGAUCAUUAUGAGGCCUGUUUUUUUUGCAUUGACUUAUUCAGCACAACCUAAAAUUAUCAUUCGAAAAAGAAAGAAUGAAUCAUGUAUAAGCUUCUAAUUCUCACAUGAAAUACACAGACUAGUAAACAACCAUGUAUAGAAAACAAUAUAAACUACUUCCAGGUAUAGAGAGUGAUUUGCAGGAAUGGAGCGAGUAUGUACAGGCAGAGUGAAUACAUUUAAAUGUACUUAAGAUUAAAUGAUAUACAAAAGACACUUGGAAUGUACAUUUUGUAAUGUGUACAGCUUAAAUAAAAAUGAAUAUGUGUUGAAAAAGUU